rnacentral:rRNA from 1 species
UAAGGAAUAUUGGACAAUGGAGGCAACUCUGAUCCAGCCAUGCCGCGUGAAGGAAUAAGGCCCUAUGGGUUGUAAACUUCUUUUAGACGGGACAAAACCCCUUUACGUGUGAAGGGUUGAUGGUACUGUCAGAAUAAGCAUCGGCUAACUUCGUGCCAGCAGCCGCGGUAAUACGAAGGAUGCAAGCGUUACCCGGAAUUAUUGGGUUUAAAGGGUGCGUAGGCGGACUAAUAAGUCAGUGGCGAAAGCCUGCAGCUUAACUGCAGAAUUGCCAUUGAUACUGUUAGUUUUCAGUACAGUUGAGGUAGGCGGAAUGUGUCCUGUAGCGGUGAAAAGCUUAGGUAGGACACAGUACACCGAUUGCGAAGGCAGCUUGCUAAGCUGUAACUGACGCUGAGGCAGGAAAGCGUGGGGAGC